AACGCAAUUCCCCCUUUAUUAAUUUUACCCCACAAAACCUGAAUUUCAGGUGAAGAUGCCUGAAUACCAUUGAAAGACAAGAAGACCCUAUAGAGUUUCAGUGAGGCUCCCUUCCCCCUAUAACUCCCCCUCACUUUAAUUGGGGCGAUUAAGGAUUUCACACUACAUCCUCACAUUUAAUUGACUAAAAACGUCUUUAUUAAUAAUCCUUUCCAUUUGAAUUUUAAAUUAACUACCUUAGGGAUAACAGGCUUAUCUUCCUAAAGAGUCCAAAUUAACAGGAAGGUUUGGCACCUCGAUGUUGGCUUAGAGUAACCUAAUAAAGCAAAAAUUAUCAUGGUUAGUUUGUUCAACUAAUAACUCUCU
rnacentral:rRNA from 1 species